rnacentral:rRNA from 1 species
AUUGAACGCUGGCGGCAUGCCUUACACAUGCAAGUCGAACGGCAGCACGGGAGCAAUCCUGGUGGCGAGUGGCGAACGGGUGAGUAAUAUAUCGGAACGUGCCCAGUCAUGGGGGAUAACGCAGCGAAAGCUGUGCUAAUACCGCAUACGAUCUAAGGAUGAAAGCGGGGGAUCGCAAGACCUCGCGCGAUUGGAGCGGCCGAUAUCAGAUUAGCUAGUUGGUGGGGUAAAGGCCCACCAAGGCGACGAUCUGUAGCUGGUCUGAGAGGACGACCAGCCACACUGGAACUGAGACACGGUCCAGACUCCUGCGGGAGGCAGCAGUGGGGAAUUUUGGACAAUGGGCGCAAGCCUGAUCCAGCAAUGCCGCGUGCAGGAUGAAGGCCUUCGGGUUGUAAACUGCUUUUGUACGGAACGAAACGGCCCUUUCUAAUACAGGGGGCUAAUGACGGUACCGUAAGAAUAAGCACCGGCUAACUACGUGCCAGCAGCCGCCGUAA